rnacentral:piRNA from 1 species
UCUUCCAAGUGAGAAGUGAAAGGAAUGU